AAAAAAAAAAAAGAUACUAUAUGGCGAUGAGCUCCUCCCGCUGCCCUGCCAGCCUCAUCUGUCAGCCAUUAGUUAAUCAGGGCCGGUAACGCGGCGCUCAGAGGAGCUGGCACGGUGCGUGGGACCGGAGGACAGCUUCACCUCUGGGAGCAAGAGGAGGGCAAGGACUCAGGGACAUCUGCAGCGCCGACCCACAGCUGGCUGGCUUCACUCAGCAGCACCCACUCAGGACUGGCAGGCGGCCGCCGCAGGACGACUCCACCCUCUCUGCUUUCCUCAGGGCCUCGUUGGGCGAGGAGGUUUGUGAAGAGAGAAGUCAAAACAACACAUGUUAUCAGCAUGGGAACAGCUGGUAAGAGCGGAGUCCUGGAGAGAAGAAUGUCAAGAGUCAUAGAUCUUUUAUCCAUCGGGCCAAAAUACCCAGCCUGACUCAAAAGCCACACACAGGAACAGGCUGAAAUCCCAACAUUUACACGCUGAACUCAUUGCUCUUUAUCUAAAACUAACUCCAUCCCUUGAUCCUACAGGAUAGGAUAGGAUAGAGGUGAAACUGUAGAGUGACAGGCUGAUUUUGCUGUGCUAUUUGUCCCAGGGUGCGCUUGACUAUACGACGUGGAAAUAAUUUCCCGUCUCCGUCUGAGCAGUUUUUGACAAACUGUCAGCUGCGAGAGAAAGUCAAAUCAGCUUAAAGUCGAGCAGCGCGCCGUGACUCCAUGGCUCAGUGUGAGUCUGCCAUCUCUGAAGAGUUAAAUAAACAGCGCUGAGUAGGCACACACACCGUCUCCGGCACAGUUUCCUUUUUCAGUCAGCACCACUCAGAAAAGGCACAAGUAACCAAAAGUAGAGACGAAAUGACAAAAACAGCAGAGUUUUCAACUCUUGAAACAUUUCACUGAGAUAAUUGGAUUGUACUCAAAAAUCCAACAAACAAACAUGAUGGUGAGAACUGAAGGAAAGGAGUACACAACAUAUUGAUGACAGAACCUGAAAAACUACAAGCAGCAGAGCAGUCGUAAAGUAAUAAAAUAGUGACCUUUGACAUGUGGCUUCCAAGUCUAACUCCCUCUUCCUGCUAAAUGUUACACAGCUGCUUUUCUAAUCUGUCAAAGCAGCCGGCCCGCCACAGCUUGAGAGGAAAAGACGAUCUUGACCUUGCAUUUGUGUUCAAAAACAGCUCGAAAGCCCAGAUGCAGGAGGAUGGAUCCUGUUUUCCUGCACUUUCUUUAAUCAAAGUGAGACUGAAGAUCUGAGAUCUUCACAUGCAGAUAGCAGUUUAUCAGCAGUGUUUAGAGAUCCAACCAAUAUCCUUCCGUGCAAACGUCUUUCUCAGCCUUGUGUUGUUUUUUGAAUCACUGCUAACUCUGUGCCUGGUCUAAGUCAAGCCCAUGGAUUCCCCCAAGAUGUUGCCUCCAACCAUGGAAAAAUUAAAAAUUAAGUAAAUUCAAAAAACUAUAUGAAGCAUCGACAUCGAAAAGAACCACUUCCUGUCAUACAUGUAGAGUUUCUCAGGGAAUGCAGUGAUAACCUGCAGCCAGUUCCGUUUGACAGACAGGAAUGUUCCUACAUCUGUGCUCCAGCGGCCGAGCCGACUGAGUCGACGUCGAGAACAAGUAGAAACAGACCUGACAGGUAGCGACGUCACACGGAAAGCACAGCGCCGACACGCGCAGAGACAAACAGCGAGAGUACAGUUAAUCUCUGACACCGAGGGUUAAACUUUCCACAUCGGUCGCUUCAGGUUCUCCAGUUAAAGGACUCUUAGCUCUGCGUUGAAGUGUUCUAGAAUUACCAAAUCUAUCACUGUCUCUAUUAGGAGAGUCGAAAAAGCUGCAACAAACUCCACUUCACUCCAUCACCUUGAUAACAUCGACAGGUCCAAACAGGACCUGGCCCCACCGAGUCUGAGUCUGAGUGAGAACCGGGAUACGAAGCGACUCCUAGAGGCUUUCAGACACUUUACAGUUCUUUUCUUUUUUUUUCCCCCCCCUGAGUUAAAGCAGACGCUCACUACCUGUGUCAAAGUGAGGCCACGUUCGCUGUCAUCUGACGGGUCUGGGCUGGACCGAGUUAAACGCUUCCAGACUUCCAUCAUGCCUUGUCUCUCCUCACUGUGUGUCGCUGCACCUCUCCUCAGCUGGAAUCACCAGAGAACCGUCACUUCCAGACAGACCUCUCUAUUUAUUUUCACAGCAUAAACUCAUCACAGUUGAGACUCAAGGUUUCGGCCUCCUGCUGGGUUUCAUCUGACAUCGUUAAAUGUUUCCUAAAGCAGAAUCGCUGAUGAAUCGACUUCAAUCACAGGGUGGAAAAUGCUAUUUGUCUGUCGUCAACAUGCUCUAUCUAGAAGGGAAUUCCAUCCUGAGGUAAAAAGCCAAAACAUUUGAAUCUUUCAGAUAAAAUCUCGCUGCAUCUGGUUUUCCUCCAAAGUCCUAAUGGUUUGCCAGGAUCUGCAGGCCGCAGCGCCUCGACUUCUAACUAGAAAAUCAUCAACUCCACUGUUUUGCUUUCUUUCAAAGGCCAAAGCGAAACACAAUCCACCAGCUCAGAUUUAGAUUAAAGCUGCAACCAGAGGGAGCGCCACCCUCAGGAGCGCUGUGGAGGGAUCCUCCGGUCGCUCACACACACACACACACGCACACACAAAACGCUCGGCUGGCGUAUGGGCAGGAUCAGGAAACUCCAGUCCGCCCGUGUCACGAGCGACUGACCCCGAGGUGACAGGUUUGGAGCGCGGCUCUGCCCGGUGCCCUCGGGCCAGAGUCAAGCAUGUCAGCGUCGUACAUGUGGGUUUCAUUUGAAGCGGCGUGAUUAGCCCGCAGACGCCGGGCUGCGAUCCCCCGCCAUGGGAAACCCACACUGCUCAGGAAAUGGUAUGUUUUGGUUAGCAACAAACAGGCAUAAAUUACUUAAAUGGAGCCUCGGUUGACAAUUUAUCAAACACAGCAGCAUUGUGGGUCGUUCCUCCCAGCUCACAUCCACCGUGCUUUCGAGGUAAUUACCAUUAGUUAAUGAUAUUUACAUUCCUAAUAGUUUAGGCUGAACUAUGUGUCUGCAGUCCUUAAUUUGUGCAAUAAACGUGGUAAUUGUUUUGUGUCUUUCUUUCUUGUGUGUGAUGAAUGUGUGUUGAUUACAUGUAUGUGGAAAAAAAAUGAACACGGCGAGAUCAGGAGUCGCCGUGUGAAGAGAAGACCUCUCCGGAUGUUAAAGAAAGCCGAAGAAAAGAAUUAAUUGAUUUGUUUAAGUGUUUGAUUGAAAAAAUGAAAUGUUUGUGUGGUUUUUAUUCUCUCUUUUCAUCUAUUUUCAAUAAUGAUGUUUAAAUGUGAAAUAUAUUGAAAUACAAAGAAGUGCUGGAGGACCAGGUUGAGUUUGAGUGCCCUUUGACAAUAAUACACACAGUAAUAAUGAAAAUAAGAAAACAAACAUAAAACCUAGGAGAUUUUUUUUUUUUCCCAAAUAAAAGAUAAUUAUGAGAAGCAUUCCUUCAUGAGCUCCAGUUAAAAACUGAUCUGAUGCUUAGGGUGGACAGAAAAAACGUUUACUGGGGACGAUGAGCAGAAGAGGACAAUGGGUAAAGAGGUAAGACAAAUCACUCGAGACAUGAGGCAAACUUUGACAAUGUUACACAAUAAAGGACGGAUUACAGAUUAUUUUCUCUGGAAAGGUCUGAAACAUGCUCCUUCGCACUGAGACAGGACAGAUUUUGGAAAAAACGAAUUAGAAAUGUUAAACGAUACGAGCAGAUGAGUAAUGAAACGUGAGUCUGAGUUGAAUUGUUUUGGUGCAAAGUCUGUUGUUUAGUGGCGAAUGUCAGCUAAAUCUCUUUACAGUUCAUAAAUGAGAUGUAAAAUCUGAAAACAUGAUGUGUUUCAGGUUGUGUGAGAUAUCAGACGAAGCGUCUCAGUAAGAAUUAAAGCGAUAAAUGUUAUGAUGUAUCAAUAAAAUCUGAGACUCUAAUGAAAGUGG